GGUCUCCUACGGGGCGCAGCAGUAGGGAAUCUUCCACAAUGGGCGAAAGCCUGAUGGAGCAACGCCGCGUGGGUGAAGAAGGUCUUCGGAUCGUAAAACCCUGUUGUUAGAGAAGAAAGUGCGUGAGAGUAACUGUUCACGUUUCGACGGUAUCUAACCAGAAAGCCACGGCUAACUACGUGCCAGCAGCCGCGGUAAUACGUAGGUGGCAAGCGUUAUCCGGAUUUAUUGGGCGUAAAGGGAACGCAGGCGGCCUUUUCAGUCUGAUUUGAAAGCCUUCGGCUUAACCGGCGUAGUGCAUUGGG
rnacentral:rRNA from 1 species